rnacentral:lncRNA from 1 species
AAAAAAUGUAAAUAUAUAUAUCUAUAAACCGCUUUUUGGUUCAGUUUCAAAGCAGAUGGCAAAUUUCUGAGGAUGCACUUAGUGGCUGGGUUUUGCCAUCUCGUCGAUGUGUUGUCAAGGUGAAGGAGGGGCCGGAGCCUUUGAUGUCUGCGAGGUGGGGCUUUCUAGGUCUUUCUUCAUGCUCAAAAGAAGAGUAUUGGUUACUCCCAGUCUCUUUGGAAAUAAGCUUUUAGGGAAUCAGGCCAAAAGGACUAGAACUUGGGGGAGUGUGUUUCAUGCCAGGAAGCCUUAAUUAAAGAGUGGGAGGUAUAGAUUAUCUUGAAGAAAGACCUCUGGUAAAGAUCUAUUUUUAACCUUAAUGAAUAUGCUAUUAAUUAAAAAGUCUUCCGGAUAAGACACAAAGACUUACCAAAAGAUUAUUGCCUGCUAUGUUUAACCUGGGAACAUGACACAAAAUGCUUUAAACAGGAAACUUAUUACAUUGAAAGAGAACUUUCUCUUGGUAAAAUCAUGUUCAGAAUAAUGAACUGUCAAUUUGCUUUAAUUACUUUUAAACAUAUAAACAUUUUCAAACACCAAGAUAACACUGUGCCCCAGGAAAUCUCGGGGUGCAGGGGGCUUGGGGUUCCUGAGAUGAGCUGUUAUUUCUGAUAUCCAGCAACAGUUUUGCAGACAUGUCCCCAAAUAAACUAUUUAACAAAACUCAACUCUCUCUUCUCCUCAUGUUCUUCUCUUUAUCUAACUUCUAAAUAUAAUUCAAUCAUAGGUUUGAGCAAUUUAAUUAAUUAAAUUACCAACGCUUGCCUAAAGAACAGUGUCUAUUCUUGGUGAGCUAAAUUAUUUUGAAGCAAAUUAAACAUUUAGAAAAGUGGUUUGCAUCCCUCACGGCACAUUAGCAUUACCGGGGGAGCUUAAAAAAAAUACUAACAUCCUGGUUCCACCCCCAGAGGUUGUGUUUUAAUGGGAAUGGGAGGGGAGGCAGCCGCUCUGAGAUUUUAGCUUGCAGUCAAAGGAGUCCAAAUCCACAUUGUUUCUGGGAACCGUGAAUUCUCUGGACUUGCAUGGAUGGUCCUAAAGGCUAUAUUGAGGUUGCAGAGUCUUAGGGUUUAGAAAACCAGCACCUGUGACUUCAAAGCUGAAGCAGCGUGGGUCAGUGAAAUGAGUUUGAAGGGUGCAGGGAGCAGGAGCUUUCCUUAGGAGGGUCCCAGGUCAUGUCAAGAGGACCUGCCAAGGACAUAGCAGUCCCAAGCUUUGGUCUUCUGACGCUCUACCUAUGGGAAAGGGAGUACCUAUAAAUUGGCCAACAGGUCAUCUCUGAUUUUUAAAAUACCCCAUGAUGUGAGCAGAUGAAGACUCGCUGAGGAGUAGGAAAAAUGUCAGCUCUUCCAUUGCCUUGACGUUCUCUUGUGUUUGCAUUAUUAUUAUCUUUAGUUGACUCUUUGGGUUGUUUGACUUUUUUAGCUUUGGGAAACACAAGGGUCAGAUGGAUCACCAGUGUCCAGUCAAGAGAACUCACGGCAAGCCAUCCAGCCACAUCCAGGAUUACUGGGACUAUCUAUGUUCAUUACCUCGAAUCGCUAAGAAAAUCUCCAGGAGAAGAGAAUUACUUAUGUAACUUUCAAAGUAGUAGGAAGAAAUGAAAAGAACUCAGUCCAAAAGAAGGCAAAAAAAGGAGAAAAUAAGAGAUGUAGAGAAAGUCAGAUUCUUACAAAACACGAAACAAGAUAUAGAG